GUGGAUUUAAGAAAAAAAGGCAAUUGUUAUAUAUUUUUUCUCUCUGAAUGGUGGUCCCAGACCCCAGUUUGCUAUGGUAAAUUCUCAAAUAUACUGAAUGUCAUUUGAAUGAUACUGAAUAUAAUAUUUUGGAAAUAUAAGAGUGAUAUUUGUGCUCCCUCUCAGCUGGCUCUACCAGGCUCUGGGCAUUUGUCUAGGCUGGGAUCUCUUGUGAGUGGAGUAAAGGUGGAGACUCUAUGGGCUUUACCAACUGAUGUUCUGCUAGAAGCGUUACCUGCUCUGAGCCUUCAGACACCUGGGCUCACCCCCCCACAGGUCAACACUAUCAUCUCCAAACUCUGGGCUUCUAGUUCUGUGUCCCAGUGGAUGGAUAAAGUCAAGCCUUUGCUCUCUAGCACUCCACUCCUGAGUGUGAUUGCCCAAGUCCCUCUGCUGCUGAUCAAAGACACUGCUGUACACACUCGCCUCUGGAACACACAGCAGGCGAAAGCUCUCUUUAAAGAGGCUGUCGUCUCUCAUCCAAGUCUCUCGCUACAAGAAUUUCUAUCUCUGGGGACACUGGCUACAGGAGUGAAUUGCUUGGACCUUAGACGAUUGUUCCAGAACCUGGCAUCUCUAUCACCUCUACGUGACAUUAUGACAUUUCUGAGAGAGCAGCCGGUGCCACUCCACCCCUCACUGGUAUCUAGUAAACCUACAUUCAAAUUCAGGACCUAA
ensembl:lncRNA